rnacentral:lncRNA from 1 species
CAUAACCAAGAAUAAAACUACUUAUGCACGCCGAGAGAAUCUGUAAAGGGGAAUGAGUGGAUGCAAGAUGGAAUUGCGGACUAAUUUGUAUGCGAGAAAAAAGUGAAAGAAGGUCUACACAUUAUUAAGCGACCAACAUCUCUCAAAGUGUUUAAACGCCACACUUGCUCACCUUUCGGGAUGCAAAUAAUUGUGCUUGAUUAGGUGAGAUAUAUCCAAGAGAACUCACUUAUAAUACUUAUCAGAUUUCUAAUAUCCAUACUUGUUCGUCUUUCAAGAUACAAAUGUUGGAAGUUAACUCGCUAAGGUGGAGUUUGUUGUCAAAUUCCUUUGUGUGCGCAUUACCCUUAUCCUUGCUACUUGCCCUCUCGGGUAGUUGGCGAUUGACAUUGGUCAAACGAUGAAUGCGUUAAGAAUUGUAAGUUAGAUUCCUUGUUAAGAAUUUAUCACAAACCUAUACUGAUAACACAUUAACAAGUGGGAAGUCAAUAAAUGAUGGAUUGAAAAUGUAUAAACAUGUAAAAUAUAUACAAGGAUGUAGGCCUUAGGCUAUUGUACCCUAUGAACAACAUAGGUUACAAAGAAAUGCAUAAAAUAGAGAAAAAUGAGAAUGAAAAAAUAUUACAAGUUAGGGGACAAUGAAAGUAUAGAUUCUUCCUUUCUUAGGAGCCAAGCUCUCACUUUUACAACUGAUCAGAGAAGAAGAAGAGAACGUUAUAUCUCACUUUUACGAUCAGAGAAGAAGAAGAAGAAGAGAACGUUAUAGAUGGCGGAAAAGCUAUUCCUUUUCGCAACGUUAUAAAUGGCGGAAAAGCUAUUCCUUUUCGCAACGUUAUAGAUGGCGGAAAAGCUAUUCCUUUUCGCCACUCUCUCUAGGGAUUGACCUUUUUAGGCCUUUGUCCCAUACACAUAUCCAGACUAGUCCUUUAUGACCUUAAAUCCUAUUUGUGCUACUUAGUUUCAUUAAACUAAACUAAGACAUAAUUCUAAUCCUAUUAGAAUUAAUGUGAUCUUAAAUCUAUUUAAUUUUAAACAAUUUAAAAUUAAAUCAAAUUAAUCCUAAAAUUGUAAGUUUGCAUGCAACUCCUUGUUAUAGAUUGAGGGUUUCUAAUUAUCAAAAUUUAUAACUAUUAUAAAAUUAAUUAAUUAA